rnacentral:rRNA from 3 species
CCGGUAGCUAAAUGCGGAAGAGAUAAGUGCUGAAAGCAUCUAAGCACGAAACUUGCCCCGAGAUGAGUUCUCCCUGAGACUUAGAGUCUCCUGAAGGAACGUUGAAGACGACGACGUUGAUAGGCCGGGUGUGUAAGCGCAGCGAUGCGUUGAGCUAACCGGUACUAAUGAACCGUGAGGCUUAACCUU